rnacentral:rRNA from 1 species
UACGGAGGGGGCUAGCGUUGUUCGGAUUUACUGGGCGUAAAGGGCGCGUAGGCGGCGUGACAAGUCACUUGUGAAAUCUCCGGGCUUAACUCGGAACGGUCAAGUGAUACUGUCGUGCUAGAGUACAGAAGGGGCAACUGGAAUUCUCGGUGUAGCGGUGAAAUGCGUAGAUAUCGAGAGGAACACCUGCGGCGAAGGCGGGUUGCUGGGCUGAUACUGACGCUGAGGCGCGAAAGCUAGGGGGAGCGAACGGGG